rnacentral:tRNA from 1 species
UCUCGAUUCGUCUAGUGGUUAGGAUACCUGCUUGUCAUUCACGACUAUAGUCCCACGAAGGACCGAAUUCGCAGGUGGCCGGGGUUCAAUUCCCCGAUCGAGAG